rnacentral:lncRNA from 1 species
CUCUUUGCGCAUGCGGCGGCCCGGCCGCUGUUCCCCGACGCGCUGGAGCGUGAGAAGCUGCGCCGGCGGUACUCUGGGUUUCUGCUGCGUUCUUGCGAACGCGUGCACUCCCAGGCCUCUGCGUCUUUCACAUCCUUUUACGCCAUCCAGAAGGCGGGAUCGGCAGGUGAUGGUUUUGGCGAAUCACACCUCACUCGGCUCCUGUUCCGAUAUGCUCCUUCUGGGUAAGAAUUUUGAGCAUUGGGGCUCCACAACAUCACAUCAGACCGACGUGGAGCAAAGACAUCUCUUCUGAAGCGACUAUAGACGUUCUAUGGAAGGAGAAGCGGAAGCUGCGUCAACACCCCAUCCCUUCUGUUUAUUUAUAUUAUUACUUACUCCUGGUUUUUGAAUAUUAGGUCUCAUAGAGCCCAAGCUGAUCUCUAACUCCCCACACAGCCUUAGAUAAUCUUGCACUCCCGAUCCUCCUCUUAGCUCUUAAGUACUGAGAUGACAGGCGUGUGCCACCACCACACCAGGGUUACAGGAUACUGGGGAUGGAAGACAGGACUGGCUGCAUGUUAGGCAAUCACUGAGAUAUACCAUCGACCUUUAGAAAGAAAAAAAGAUUUAUAUUUUGCCGGGCAUGGUAGCGCACGCCUUUAGUCUCAACACUUGGGAGGCAGUGGCAGACAGAUCUCAAGUUCAAAACCAAUUUGGUCUACAAAGAGUUUCAGGAUAGCCAGGACUAUACAGAGAAACCCUGUCUCGAAAACAAAGGUUUAAUUAUGUGUCAGGUGGGUUUGUGUACGUGACUUCAGGGCCUAAAGAAGCUGGAAGCAGGCACAGGAUCUACAGCACUGGCAUGAUUUACUUUCUGAGUUUGUGCUGGCCACUAAGCCCUUAGUGAUCCUUUGAGCCUGUUAUGCCAGGGUCUCCGACUUUUCCUAAUUGGAUAUUCUUACUGCUGGAAGCACCACACCACGAUUAUAUGAGGAGGAAGGAGGAAGUUGAGCCUAGCAGGUAUCCUGAUCCCUAUGCCCUUCCUGUAACUCCUGUCUUGCCUGCUGUGAAGCCCCUUUAUAAUGUCCUACUCUUGGAGCUGCAGAGAUAGCUCAAUGGUGAUGUGCUUGUCAUGGGAGCAGGACCACCUGAGUUCAGGUCCAAGAAUUCAGUGUAAAAACCAGACAACAGCAGCACAGGCCUGCAAUCCCCAAAGACUAUUGUGACCUUGUAGGGACUCUGUGUGGCUCACAGUAAAUAGAAGUCUGUAUCUGCCCGGACUGUCUCCCUCAUGCUCACCUGAGAUAGUUCCAGAAGAUUCUUUUUUCUUUCUUUCUUUCUUUCUUUCUUUCUUCCUUCCUUCCUUCCUUCCUUCCUUCCUUCCUUCCUUCCUUCCUUCCUUUCUUUUUUUUCGAGACAGGGUUUCUCUGUAUAGCCCUGGCUGUCCUAAAUAUCACUCUGUAGACCAGGCUGGCCUGGAACUCAGAAAUCCGCCUGCCUCUGCCUCCCAAGUGCUGGGAUUAAAGGCGUGCACCACCACGCCCGGCUCAGAAGGUUCUUGCUGAUGGAAUGGGAUCUCCUUUCAGAACAUAGUUGCCUUCUUUCCUGACAGAGCCCAGGCUGUAAAUUCUGUUAGUACCCAGGCUGCCUCAGCUAAUAGACCAUGCUUUCCUGGGUUACAACUCUAGCUCAAGCCUGUAUCUACUGAGCACUGUGCUUUGACCAGGGUUCUGGGCCAAACUAACUUACUGAUAAAACUAAUCCUCUCCUAUACCUCCACCCAGGUCCCUUCAGCAGACCCAAGCUCUCCAUAGUUCUGUCCUGUUCCAGCUUACUCAGCCUUUCUCUCCUUGACAGUGUGGGACACUGAGCACUGUAGAAUCCAAAAUAAGUUCAAGACCACCUAGCCCCUUCUCCUCUGAAGGGACUUCCAAAUUAUAUAGUUUUAGUGGUCAAAAUGACUAAGCCUGCAGCUGCCAAAACAACAUUAGCAGUUCUCAAAGAAAUUCCCCUACCCCACCCCACACUGAAUUCUGAGAAAGACCACACACCACCCUGACCUUGCUGAAAUUUCCCCUGAUGUUAAUGGCUGUGAGUUAAUACUUGUGACGUUAAUAGCUAACCCAUAAGUUCAAAACAUACUGUUGCUUUGCUGAAAAACAAGGGCAGGCAGAGUGAGGGGCUAGGCCAAAGGGUUACUUAGUCACUAUGCAAACCAACCAAUGCCUGAAAAGGUUGUUACACCAAUUAGAAUAAGCCAGCUACCCUGUUGCCUAAAUCUGCCCCUUACAAAGGUAUAAAAAGUGUGUUCUUUGUUCUGGGUCUCUCCACUGGCCUACGUGCUGAGAAGGGGGCGGGGGUCCCCAACAUGUUGGAUCAAUAAAAAUCCUCAUGCGGUUUGCAGC